rnacentral:antisense_RNA from 1 species
UUGGCAGUGUAGUCCCAGAUCGGUUCUGGCUCGACCAGCGCCCGGUCACCGAAAAACUCCCCGUCAGCGAGCACCCGCAGCUGCACCUGGUCGCCAUAGGCCCCUACGCCCUCGGCCCUGACCUUGCCGUGCACGAUCAGGUAGAGGUUGUCAACGGCCGAGCCGAACUCGGCGAUGACCUGGCCCGGCUCGUAGUCCUGCCGGGUGAACCGGCCGGCCAGAUCACCCAACACGGACUGGUCGUCGAAACCACGCAACAGCCGCAGCUCGCCCAGCUCUGCCGGCACCACCCGCACGUCGGCGCCCGUAUUGGUGAACGACACCCGGCCAUCCCCGAGGAAGUACGUCGCCCGCCGGUUCACCCGGUAGGUUCCGCUGGAGACCUGCACCCACGGCAACACGCGCAGCAGCCACCGCGAGCUGAUUUCCUGCAUCUGUGGCACGGACUUCGUCGUCGUCGCCAGAUUCCGCGCCGCCGCCGUACUCAAGCUCAAUCGAUGCUGUGC